rnacentral:rRNA from 1 species
AGCGAACGCUGGCGGCAGGCUUAACACAUGCAAGUCGAGCGGGCGUAGCAAUACGUCAGCGGCAGACGGGUGAGUAACGCGUGGGAACGUACCUUUUGGUUCGGAACAACACAGGGAAACUUGCGCUAAUACCGGAUAAGCCCUUACGGGGAAAGAUUUAUCGCCGAAAGAUCGGCCCGCAUCUGAUUAGCUAGUUGGUAGGGUAAUGGCCUACCACGGCGACGAUCAGUAGCUGGUCUGAGAGGAUGAUCAGCCACAUUGGGACUGAGACACGGCCCAAACUCCUACGGGAGGCAGCAGUGGGGAAUAUCGGACAAUGGGGGCAACCCUGAUCCAGCCAUGCCGCGUGAGUGAUGAAGGCCCUAGGGUUGUAAAGCUCUUUUGUGCGGGAAGACAAUGACGGUACCGCAAGAAUAAGCCCCGGCUAACUUCGUGCCAGCAGCCGCGGUAAAAC